GGAAGGUUAGCUCAGCUGGGAGAGCACUCGCUUGACGUGUGAGAGGUCGCAGGUUCGAGCCCUGUACCUUCCA
rnacentral:tRNA from 1 species